rnacentral:rRNA from 1 species
AAACUUUCAACAACGGAUCUCUUGGUUCUGGCAUCGAUGAAGAACGCAGCGAAAUGCGAUAAGUAAUGUGAAUUGCAGAAUUCAGUGAAUCAUCGAAUCUUUGAACCGCACAUUGCGCCCGCCAGUAUUCUGGCGGGCAUGCCUGUCCGAGCGUCAUUU